rnacentral:pre_miRNA from 1 species
UUAUUACUCCCUCCAUUCGGAAUUACUUGUCACAGAAGUGGAUGUAUCUAGACAUAUUUUAGUUCUAGAUACAUCCAUUUCUGAGACAAGUAAUUCUGAACGGAGGGAGUACUUC